GAUGAACGCUAGCGAUAGGCUUAACACAUGCAAGUCGAGGGGCAGCACAAGGUAUCUUGCUAUCUGGGUGGCGACCGGCGCACGGGUGCGUAACGCGUAUGCAACUUGCCCUAUACAGGAGGAUAACCCGUCGAAAGACGGACUAAUACUGCGUAUGCUCACAACUUGGCAUCAAGUGGUGAGGAAAGAAAUUCGGUAUAGGAUAGGCAUGCGUGCCAUUAGCUUGUUGGUGAGGUAACGGCUCACCAAGGCAACGAUGGGUAGGGGAACUGAGAGGUUUAUCCCCCACAGUGGUACUGAGAAACGGACCAGACACCUACGGGAGGCAGCAGUGAGGAAUGUUGGUGAAUGGACGCGAGCCUGAACCAGCCAAGUCGCGUGAAGGAUGACUGUCUUAUGGAUUGUAACCUUCUUUUAUACGGGAAUAACAAGAGUCACGUGUGACUCCCUGAAUGUACCGUAUGAAUAAGCAUCGGCUAACUCCGUG
rnacentral:rRNA from 1 species